rnacentral:rRNA from 1 species
CCUACGGGUGGCAGCAGUGGGGAAUAUUGGACAAUGGGCGAAAGCCUGAUCCAGCCAUGCCGCGUGUGUGAAGAAGGCCUUCGGGUUGUAAAGCACUUUCAGUGGGGAAGAAAGCCUUGGGGCUAAUACCCUCGAGGAAGGACAUCACCCACAGAAGAAGCACCGGCUAACUCCGUGCCAGCAGCCGCGGUAAUACGGAGGGUGCGAGCGUUAAUCGGAAUUACUGGGCGUAAAGCGCGCGUAGGUGGUCUGAUAAGCCGGUUGUGAAAGCCCCGGGCUCAACCUGGGAACGGCAUCCGGAACUGUCAGGCUAGAGUGCAGGAGAGGAAGGUAGAAUUCCCGGUGUAGCAGUGAAAUGCGUAGAGAUCGGGAGGAAUACCAGUGGCGAAGGCGGCCUUCUGGACUGACACUGACGCUGAGGUGCGAAAGCGUGGGUAGCAAACAGGAUUAGAUACCCCAGUAGUC